rnacentral:rRNA from 1 species
AUCGCCUCCUGAACCUACAAACAUAGGAGGUCCCGCCUGCCCUGUGAUCUAGAAUUUAACGGCCGCGGUAUUUUGACCGUGCAAAGGUAGCGCAAUCACUUGUCUUUUAAAUGAAGACCUGUAUGAAUGGCAUAACGAGGGCUUGACUGUCUCCCUUUCUUAGUCAGUGAAAUUGAUCCUUCCGUGCAGAAGCGGGAAUAUUAACAUAAGACGAGAAGACCCUGUGGAGCUUUAGACAACAAAUGGUCCUUAUACAUAACCCCUAAUCAACUGGCUAAAACUAAAGAACCCCCAUUUUUGUCUUCGGUUGGGGCGACCGCGGGGAAAUAAAAAACCCCCAUGUGGAACAUCAUUACCUGUUUUUAAAUAAAGAGUAGCAACUCAAAAUAACAGAACAUCUGACCUAAUAUGAUCCGGCUUACUGCCGAUUAACGAAACCAGUUACCCCAGGGAUAACAGCGCAAUCCUCUCCCAGAGUCCAUAUCGACAAGAGGGUUUACGACCUCGAUGUUGGAUCAGGACAUCCUAAUGGUGCAGCCGCUAUUAAGGGUUCGUUUGUUCAACGAUUAAAGUCCUACGUGAC